CCUACGGGUGGCUGCAGUGGGGAAUAUUGGGCAAUGGGCGCAAGCCUGACCCAGCAACGCCGCGUGAAGGAAGAAGGCUUUCGGGUUGUAAACUUCUUUUCUCAGGGACGAAGCAAGUGGCGGUACCUGAGGAAUAAGGCACGGCUAACUACGUGCCAGCAGCCGCGGUAAUACGUAGGCGGCAAGCGUUAUCCGGAUUUACUGGGUGUAAAGGGUGAGUAGGCGGGACUGCAAGUCAGAUGUGAAAACCACGGGCUCAACCUGUGGCCUGCAUUUGAAACUGUCGUUCUUGAGUACUGGAGAGGCAGACGGAAUUCCUAGUGUAGCGGUGAAAUGCGUAGAUAGUAGGAGGAACACCAGUGGCGAAGGCGGUCUGCUGGACAGCAACUGACGCUGAGGCGCGAAAGCGUGGGGAGCAAACAGGAUUAGAUACCCGUGUAGUC
rnacentral:rRNA from 1 species